ensembl:lncRNA
AAGUUGUGCAAUAGCAGGUCCUCUGAAUGUCUUUCCCCUUGUUCUCCGUGUUAUAGCUGUGUGUGUGCCACGUUCCACGGGAACACGGUUGGCUUUGGAGACCGAGGAAAGAAGAUAGAACUCUGUGAAGUCUGAACAUCUGUUAAGAGUCGUGAAUGGCUUCGGGGAUGAGCUCAUCAGCAGGUGAACUUCCUGUUCCGGGUGGGAGCUGUCAGUCAUGCCCACACAAUUGGUUUUGCUGCUACCUAUAAAUCCCCGAGAUGGCAAAGGAAAGAAGACAUAAAAUGGCGUGUGGAGCAGCUUCUUUUCUGCUUCUCUCCUGAGUGUGUCAUCUUCCUGUGUUUUAUUACUCUUCUCUCUCCUUUCAUUCUAGCCCUAACCCUCAAGUUCACAUGUG